rnacentral:rRNA from 1 species
GACGAAGGAUGCAAGCGUUAUCCGGAUUCAUUGGGCUUAAAGGGAGCGUAGGCGGAUUGGUAAGUCAGUGGUGAAAUCUUUGGGCUUAACCCAGAAACUGCCAUUGAUACUGCUGAUCUAGAGUACAGUUGCCGUUGGCGGAAUAUGACAUGUAGUGGUGAAAUACUUAGAUAUGUCAUUGAACACCGAUUGCGAAGGCAGCUAACGAAGCUGUAACUGACGCUGAGGCUCGAAAGUGCGGGGAUCAAACAGG